GGAGAGUGGCAUGAAAGGAGAUCAUAGGAGGCCUUACAGAGGGAACCCAGGGAAAGAGAAGAUGUCCCUGUGGGAGAGUGUAGGAGUGAGCUCACCAAGCCCAACCAGCACGGAUGAAAGGCUAUAUUGGUGAACAACAGGAAGACAGACGGACUUCCGAACAGACACACCAACCAGAAGAAACCGCUGGAGAUAGCAACAGUCAGCCAGCGUGACUGACUGAGAGCGUCCCAGGCAGCUGAUCUGCCAUGUGCCCUGGUCCUCUAGAGGCCAGGAGAGAGGGACAAAAUCCUAUGGAGUCAGAGUUUGAGCCACCUGGCAUAGGUGCUAGGAACUAAACUAAGAGAGAUCCUCUGGAAGAGAAGUGCAUUCUCUUAAUCGCUGAGCCAUUUCUUCAGCCCCCACCCCCCCACACGCAGAGACAACAAAGGGAGGUGGUUCGGCAUGCAAGCAUUGGGACUGGAGUCUCAAAACUUCGAAAAUCCACCUAAACCUGGGUGUGGCGAUGCGUGACUCUAAUCCCUGUUGACAGGUGUGUCCCAGACAUCCAGAAGGGUAACUGAAAUUGGACUUCUUCACACCCCACCUGGUUCUUGCCCAAGUGAUCAGAAGGGAGAAGGGGUAUUCUGGGAGCACUCACUGUUUCCCUGGAGGAGCACCCACUGUUUACCUGAGGAACACUCAGAUUCCCUGGCCCUUGCAGGGCUCUAGGUGAGAAGUCUGGCUUGUGUGGUACACAGUGCACUUUGGCACAGCUCCCAUGAGACCAUAUAUUAUUUAUUUGUCUUUUAUAACUUCUGUUUUAUUAUCGGAAUAGGGCAAAAAUAACAUCUGAGAAACAAAACUCAGAAAACAAACACAGUCACCAAAGAGCUUUGGGAACUGUACCAAAGGUCAUCGUGGCCAUGUGUGAGGAUUCUAGCAACUUUAUAAAUUUAAAAAAUGGCCAAUGAGAUCCAUCUGUUGUGGAACACUAAAGUCCAUGGGAUUUUAAAGAGCUCAUAUAUGGAUGACAUUCUAAGAGGAGAAAGAUGAGUUAGAGAAAGGACUAAGGGAGUUGAAGGGGUUUGCAAUCCCAUAGGAAGAACAACAAUAUCAACCAACCAGACCUCCCAGAACUCCCAGGGACUAAGCCAUCAACAAAGGAGUACACAUGGCUCCAGCUGCAUAUGUAGCAGAGGACGGCCUUGUCAGGCAUCAAUGGGAGGAGUGGUCCUUGGUUCCAUGAAGGCCCAAUAGAUGCCUCAGUGUAGGGGAAUUGAGGGCAGGGAGGUGGGAGUGGGUGGGUAGGUGGAAGAUCACCCCCAUAGAAGCAGGGGGAGGAAGGAUGGAAUAGGGGGUUUCCAGGAGGGAGGGAAACCAGGAAAGGGGAUAACAUUUGAAAUGUAAAUAAAGGAAAUAUCCAAUUUAAAAA
rnacentral:lncRNA from 1 species